GACAGAAAGGGCAAGCGUUAUUCGGAUUGAUUGGGUGUAAAGGGUAUGUAGGUGGCUUUCAGAACUAUUUGUGAAAAACUUGAUAUCAAAUGAAGGAAAACAAUUGCCGAUUUUUAAGCUUGAGUUGUGUAGGGGUUGGGAGAAUUUUAUAAUAAGGGAUAGAAAUCCACAGAAAUAUAAAGGAAAACCAAAGGCGGAAGCACCUUUCUAGAUAACAACUGACACUGAGGUACGAAAGUA
rnacentral:rRNA from 1 species